AUGUAAUCACCAACAUCAACUGCACAAAAUACCAUGUCAUCGUGAGUGGGAUGGGCAAAGUUGUGUCUGCCGUAGCUCAGGAAAGACAAGAAGAAAUUGCAGCUGUUUUGCUGCAGUACCUGAAAAACUCUGCUGAUGUCAUCAACCGGCCAGCUUGCAGGGUAAACAUCCAGACCGAUUCCCAGUGGGUGGAAACAAACCUGGGCCCAUUUUCUCAAUACGCCACAUAUUUUGAGCUCAAAUUCUUCAACCUCUCUCAGGGAGCACUUGUG